GCUGAAAUGUGGUAAUGCCAUCUGGACUUUGCCUCGUGGGUUGUGAACAGCCUCUGGAACUGAGACGGAGUUGGAAGCCAGCUGAGACCCAUCGUGUUGUCUGGACUGUGGAAAGGACAAACGAUAGGGCUGCCCGGCACAGGAGCUCCGACUAGUCCUCAGCAUCGACAGAACUGUAAGAGGUAAAGCAAAGGCUCUGGGUGAAGGAACCGAGUGCAAGGAGCAGGACAGGAGCCAGACCUGCAUCAGAAGUGCUUCCAGGACCACAGUCUGCUCCUGAUGGGAGUACUCAGCAGCGUGGUCCCCAGAUGCUGCCAUACCUUGGAGUCAUCUGGGAAGCAUAAAACGUGGAAGGCCUGGACCCAACCGCCCUGCAGUGCAGCCCAGCACAGGGAAUUUCAGGAGACUCUGCCCCAGACCAGGUGACAGAGAUGGAGCAGAGACCAAAAGAGUCCCUUACAGCUGUGGAGAUGACCCCAGCAGGUAAGAGC